rnacentral:tRNA from 1 species
GACUACGUAGUGCAAUGGUAGCACACUCGGCGCGUAUUCGAGAGGUCCAGGUUCGAGUCCCGGCGAGGACA